rnacentral:rRNA from 1 species
UAGGGAAUCUUCCGCAAUGGGCGAAAGCCUGACGGAGCAACGCCGCGUGAGUGAUGAAGGUCUUCGGAUCGUAAAACUCUGUUAUUAGGGAAGAACAAAUGUGUAAGUAACUAUGCACGUCUUGACGGUACCUAAUCAGAAAGCCACGGCUAACUACGUGCCAGCAGCCGCGGUAAUUCGUAGGUGGCAAGCGUUAUCCGGAAUUAUUGGGCGUAAAGCGCGCGUAGGCGGUUUUUUAAGUCUGAUGUGAAAGCCCACGGCUCAACCGUGGAGGGUCAUUGGAAACUGGAAAACUUGAGUGCAGAAGAGGAAAGUGGAAUUCCAUGUGUAGCGGUGAAAUGCGCAGAGAUAUGGAGGAACACCAGUGGCGAAGGCGACUUUCUGGUCUGUAACUGACGCUGAUGUGCGAAAGCGUGGGAUCAAACAGG